rnacentral:rRNA from 1 species
UACGUAGGCGGAAUAUUAAGUCAGUGGUGAAAUCCUGCGGCUCAACCGUAGAACUGCCAUUGAUACUGAUAUUCUUGAAUAUAGUUGAGGUAGGCGGAAUGUGUAGUGUAGCGGUGAAAUGCUUAGAUAUUACACAGAACACCGAUUGCGAAGGCAGCUUACUAAACUAUUAUUGACGCUGAUGUACGAAAGCGUGGGGAGCGAACAGGAUUAGAUACCCUGGUAGUCC